GUGAGGAAUAUUGGACAAUGGGCGCAAGCCUGAUCCAGCCAUGCCGCGUGCAGGAAGACGCAUCUAUGGUGUGUAAACUGCUUUUGUACGGGAAGAAACACUCCCUCGUGAGGGAGCUUGACGGUACCGUAAGAAUAAGGAUCGGCUAACUCCGUGCCAGCAGCCGCGGUAAUACGGAGGAUCCAAGCGUUAUCCGGAAUCAUUGGGUUUAAAGGGUCCGUAGGCGGUUUAAUAAGUCAGUGGUGAAAGCCCAUCGCUCAACGAUGGAACGGCCAUUGAUACUGUUAGACUUGAAUUACAAGGAAGUAACUAGAAUAUGUAGUGUAGCGGUGAAAUGCUUAGAUAUUACAUGGGAUACCAAUUGCGAAGGCAGGUUACUACUUGUGGAUUGACGCUGAUGGACGAAAGCGUGGGGAGCGAACAGGAUUAGAUACCCUGGUAGUCC
rnacentral:rRNA from 1 species